CCUUUCCCUUCUGGCGGGGCCAGCUCCUCGACCAAAUCAAGCACUUGCCCAAGAAACUGCCGAGGUUGGAGAAGAAAGGGGUCGGGCGGACGAGAGAGAGAGAGAGAGAGAGAGAGAGAGAGAGAGGAGGAGACGGAGACCGUGACCGUGAGAGGAGAGAGAGGAGUUUUUCGUUUUUCUGACUGGUGGGGCCAUUCCGGACACGUGUGGCAUGAUGGGUGGACAUGGGGACCAGAUCAGCAAUACCCGGUCUGUAGCCAAUAUU